AGACACACUAAGGGCCGCAAGCUCAGAGCUAGAACAGCAGUUAACUGCUCGGCGUCAUCAUGUGGUUUCUUUACAGACACGUUGGUCUGUGACAGUUUUGUAAUAUGUCUGAGAAGGUUUUGCCUAAUCCAGGAUUAUAUUUUAUAACUCAAAAUAUCUUAAAUUAUGACUAGGAUUAAUUUGAAGAUGUGAAAUUGUACCUUCUGUCACCUGCUGGUUUUAACCUACAGUAAUAUUUCUCCCCAAACAUCCCAAACUCUGUAAUAAUAAGCUGUGACUGCUAAACCGUGAACUGGGAGGGAGCGAUACUGUUGGUGAUUGUCUUGAGCACAUCCCUAGCACAUAACCCGCGAGAGGCCCUAGUAUGCAGAUGAGGAUGUGACAGUGAGUUUGGAGUUGCCUUCAACUUUGGGGGAACAGAAGAAACUGAAGCACAAAACAGAAACUUAGAGAAGCUGAAAGGAGCUAAAGUAUUUAAAAACAUAUUAAAUGGAAAUCACUUCUUAUCUUGAAAUGUUCUCAAAUGUCAUAGCACAAGAGAACCGCGGUGGCAUUGUGAAUAUAAGGUACUCAGUCUUUCCCAGACCAAAAGAAGAUGGCAGCAACAGACCAUGGAACACGCCUGCAUGUUGUCCAGUCUCCACGGCCACCACCUGCCUCCACGGCCACCACCUAAGGAUUCUCAGAGCUGCAGCAAUGAGAGUUUUUUCAACUUUCAUCCUCAUAGUGACUCCCCAUGCAGUUUCUUGAGGGCUGUGGUAAACCAUUGCUCUGUAAUAAAAAUACCCAUGAUACUCUUUUCUCUACUGCCUCUUUGAAAUGUAAGACAGCAGUAUUAAAAAAAAAAAAAGAUGGCAGUAUUAGAAUUGCUUAUAUUGAAUGUAUUGUCAUUUCCAAAAUUCUUCACAUGGUCAAAUAAAAAUAUUCUCUUUGAAUAUGCAAA